rnacentral:rRNA from 1 species
CAGGCCUAACACAUGCAAGUCGAACGGUAACAGAGAGUAGCUUGCUACUUUGCUGACGAGUGGCGGACGGGUGAGUAAUGUCUGGGGAUCUGCCUGAUGGAGGGGGAUAACUACUGGAAACGGUAGCUAAUACCGCAUAAUGUCGCAAGACCAAAGCGGGGGACUUUCGGGCCUCGCACCAUCAGAUGAACCCAGAUGGGAUUAGCUAGUAGGUAGGGUAAUGGCUUACCUAGGCGACGAUCCCUAGCUGGUCUGAGAGGAUGACCAGCCACACUGGAACUGAGACACGGUCCAGACUCCUACGGGAGGCAGCAGUGGGGAAUAUUGCACAAUGGGCGCAAGCCUGAUGCAGCCAUGCCGCGUGUAUGAAGAAGGCCUUCGGGUUGUAAAGUACUUUCAGUCAGGAGGAAGGGUGUGAAAUUAAUACUUUCAUGCAUUGACGUUACUGACAGAAGGAGCACCGGCUAACUCCGUGCCAGCAGCCGCGGUAAU